rnacentral:lncRNA from 1 species
CCAACGGUCUUGCAGAAGCAUUUAACAAGACAUUGUGCAACCUCCUGAAGAAGGUAAUCGGCAGAACAAAGAAAGACUGGCAUGAAAGAAUAGGCGAAGCACUUUGGGCAUACAGGACGACAUAUAGAACGCCUACCCAAGCUACACCUUAUUCUCUCGUAUAUGGCGUGGAAGCUGUUCUACCGCUCGAAAAUCAAAUCCCC